AGUGAACGCUGGCGGUAGGCCUAACACAUGCAAGUCGAACGGCAGCACAGUAAGAGCUUGCUCUUACGGGUGGCGAGUGGCGGACGGGUGAGGAAUACAUCGGAAUCUACUUUUUCGUGGGGGAUAAUGUAGGGAAACUUACGCUAAUACCGCAUACGACCUACGGGUGAAAGCAGGGGAUCUUCGGACCUUGCGCGAUUGAAUGAGCCGAUGUCGGAUUAGCUAGUUGGCGGGGUAAAGGCCCACCAAGGCGACGACCCGUAGCUGGUCUGAGAGGAUGAUCAGCCACACUGGAACUGAGACACGGUCCAGACUCCUACGGGAGGCGGCAGUGGGGAAUAUUGGACAAUGGGCGCAAGCCUGAUCCAGCCAUACCGCGUGGGUGAAGAAGGCCUUCGGGUUGUAAAGCCCUUUUGUUGGGAAAGAAAAGCAGCAGGUUAAUACCCCGCUGUUCUGACGGUACCCAAAGAAUAAGCACCGGCUAACUUCGUG
rnacentral:rRNA from 1 species